AUGGAUUUUAGCCCAUCGAUCCUAUGUUGGAACGUGAGAGGAUUAAACAACCCAGCGAAGAGAGAUGCAAUUAGGGCGUUCGUUGCCACCGUGAAAGUGAAUGUAAUUUGUCUGCAAGAAACUAAGAUAGAAGUCAUUGACCGUUACACUGUGUUGCAAUGCCUCGGGUCGGCCUUCGAUGGCUUUGCUUUUCUGCCCGCGGCAGAUACGAGAGGUGGAGUUCUCAUCGCUUGGGAUUCG
rnacentral:rRNA from 1 species